GGUCCUGCCCCGCAUGAAAAGAUUUUCCUUUUGAAAAACAUUCAUAUUUUCAACAUUCAUACAACUAUGAACACUGAGGAGGCAAAUUCCCGUAUUGGCCCUACACAUUUAUAUUUUCUCACUGUGGCUAGGUAACAUUUAUUCAUGUUGAAAGUAACACUGGCCAUUCAGAGAAGGGUAGUUUAGUCAUAAAGUAAAAUUCAUUGUCUAGAGAGUACUCAACUUGGAAAUAGGCAUUUGGAUUCUUACAAACUUAUAACAAUAGGUCAAAUUGGACCAUAUGCUUUUCCAUAGUCACUUUUAUUCAAGAAAAUUUAUCAAAUUACUAACAAGAUGAACUAUUUAAUAAUUUACCUUUUUAGGAUUAUUCCAGACAUGUGGUGUUUUAUGGGAUAUUUGAAAUUAAAUCAAAAGAUGUGGAUAAAGUGUUAAAUUGUUAAUAUUUCAUAGGGAAUGUGAUUAAUUUCUUUUUAAAAAAUUACCGAGCUGACAAGGAAACGCUCAAGUCAGCAUUGAGGGGGAGCUAGGGAAUCCUAGCCAUGAAAACCCGAAAUUGCCUCACUCUAUUGGUUCAUUACUCUUUUUUUGUUUUUUGGUUAGAUAUUGUCUUAUCACUUGAGAAUAGCCUAAGCUGGACCAGCACGUCAAACUUUGACAUUAGGACCUAAUUUUUUGUUAGAUAUUGUCUUAUCACUUGAGAAGCGCCUAAGCUGGACCAGCACGUCAAACUUUGACAUUAGGACCUAAUUCUGGCUUUU
rnacentral:lncRNA from 1 species